UAGGUAGGGGGCGAGCGUUGUCCGGAUUUACUGGGCGAAAAGGGCGUGUAGGCGGUCAUGUAAGUCAAUGGUGAAAGGCUCCGGCUCAACCGGAGACAUGCCAAUGAAACUGUGUGACUUGAGGGUAGGAGAGGAGAGUGGAAUUCCCGGUGUAGCGGUGAAAUGCGUAGAGAUCGGGAGGAACACCAGUGGCGAAGGCGGCUCUCUGGCCUAUCACUGACGAUGAGGCGCGAAAGCGUGGGGGGCGAACGGG
rnacentral:rRNA from 1 species